rnacentral:lncRNA from 1 species
GUGAACUCGAAGAAACUGACUUAGCAUUUAGUCAGCAUCGCCGUGAAAACGCCAAGUCAGUGGUCAGUCUGAUUGCGCAGUCUACCCAGGUUUAUAAAAGUCAUGCCAAACCUUGUGGGGAAGUGCAAAAAAAUCCAGCCAAAUGCAAUAGUUCUCCGCGGUUAUACUAAGAUACAGUAUGUGUGUAUUUGAAUCUGCGGUAGAGUGAUCUGACAUCACAAACUAAGAUUAGUUACUGUAAAAAAGAAUUGUGCAAUGGUAUAUUGAGCAAUGACGGAAUCGAACAGUGUCACAUAGCAAGCAUUUACAAGUCUGUUACGCGAUGUAAGGAGAGGCAAUGCUGACAGCUCACAUGGUUAAGGCAAGACCUGAUCAUUUUACGCCGUGGUCGAAGAGCUUUGGCCGCAGUAUUGGAAUGUGGGACAUAUUUACGGCAGACUAAGCAUUGGACAUGGUUCGAAUUACCAUUUAUGGGCUCCGCAAAAGUUCAUUGGGCCCCACACAUACAGCAGAAGUGGGACUUGGAACAGGAAUCGAAAGGGUGAAAUAGAGCUAGUGAGAGAGAUGUGGUUGGACCCAAAAAUUGAUUUUACUUGAAUAAGCGGGAGAGAAUGUCGCUGUCUAAGAGGCAAGUCGCUAUAAUUUGCACCUAUCGUGAAAAUUGCUCACCUCCUGGUGUUCCGGCGCGCUGAGCGAGUCGCCAGACCAGCGACUGCUCAUGUGCGCCGGUGCGAGCUCUACCGUGUUCUACCUACUUGUUGCCCAUUGCUUGCGUUUUUUUUCUCUUGGUGAGGCUUAUUCAUUGCCGCGCGCGAUCUCGAUGGUGCCAAUGCUGGACAGUAGAAGCUGUGUGUUGGAUGGGAGGUGAGGAGACUGCAAGGACGUUGUGAGCUCGAGUGGGGUCCUCUCAAUUAGUUUCCUUUGAUGCCGUAGACUUGGUGCCUCAAUGGCGCAGAGGGUGUCCAGUUCGUGGUCUAUGGCCCAACUAAGCAUGCGGUUGCAGCGAGUGGCGAAGACGAAGCAAUGGGAGCUCUUCCAGCGGGUUAUGCUGGUUAUUGUUGUGAUUAUUUGGGUGGCAACGGUGAUGACCACGGCGUUUAUCCGUCUCUCUACUGGUAUGUGAGAAAUAGGCAUUUACCGCGCUUCACACUAUUGAGAAAAAUGCGACGAGAGAGAGAGAGAGAGAGAGAGAGCGAUGCAUGUGAGUAACCAUAUUUCGCCUGUUCAUACUCAUCUAGUAAGGUAUGCCUGUUGUAUAAACCGACAGAACAUAGUAUUGGGGUCAAGAUUGCACCAUCAUUGUGCAAUACAACCAAAAAUUCCUGUGUGGAGAGAAGAUAAGUAGGAAAUUAUCGAGCUCGGGGUAGUCGAAGAAUUGAACCUCGCCUGUCGAAACGUUGUGGCUCAUGAUUAACCCCGAAAUGUCUUUUGAUGCCGCUACGUUUGAGUAACUACCCGAGUCACUCCCUCACCUGAUUCAGGCUUAUGAGUCAGAUGAAGACUGCAGAAAGUGCUCGCGUAGAAGGAAUAAAAAUAUCCCUCCUUUUGUUUGUUUCAUUGCUAUAAUCUAUUUACAAUCAUGGUGGAGAUUUAGAGUCAGUCCUGCAUUCCAGUAACAAUACUGAGUCCCUACCACAUUCUGUUGAACUUUAAGUAACACGUCUCAUUUCUUUCCGGUGUGGACUGUAUUAUUACUAUGUCUCAAGUAGAUAAAUAGCUUUUGACACCAUUUCUGGCUGUGCAGAUUCUGAAAUCGAUACAAACCUCUCAAGCUCGUCCGAUUCAACCAGUCCUCUGUUCCACGCGAGGAAACUUGCAUCAUGGUAUUUAAUAUUAGGACAAUGUGCUGCGUAUCAGUGUUGUAUAUUAGUUUAGUGUAGAAGUACAUCAGUGUGGUAUAUCGCUUUUAAACAUCUUAGGUGUAAUUACGCUGUUGAGUAACUUCAGAAGCGGCUUACCAACGUGAUUGUUGUCGGUGCUUGCAGGAUCGAAGGGUGAUGGACCUGCUCAGAUGACCCUCAGACAUUUAGUAAACUCCAUACAAUCAAUGCAUCCUGAAGUCUUCUGUUCUUCCGAUUCACCUUCCUUUCUUCCCUUUUUUCAACGGAAACGCUCACCUUCUCGUCUUGGUUCGGAAGAUCUGCUGAAACUGCGCAAAUAGCAAAUUCUCCAGUCGAUGGCAGCGGAAUUCCUGGGCAACGUGAACGAGCAUGGGAGUUCAUAAAGCUAAAUCUCCGACUUGUUAGAUAAGUGAAAGAACCAUCAUAUCAUAGGUUUGAGCUUCGAUGUAAAUUUAUUAUAGUUUCUUCAUGUAGCGAUUGCGCUACAGCGGCGAAGUGCAGUAGGAAUACACCACAUGUUUAUGAACAGAUAAAGCCAAUUUAGAACAGUUCAUAUGUU